UGUUGGUAUCGGAGGGGUUAAUUUUUAAAAGGAGUUUAGCGCAGCGGAUUAAAACACAGAGAGCGUACAGCGUAACAAGUCACAGUUGAAACAAUUUUGCCUUUUUAAGUUAAACGAUUUUCUUUCAGAAAAUUUACCAAGCAAAUAACGUACGUUAAUAAUAAAAUGAGUAUAGGGCAAAAGAAAAUCACACAGGGAUUUUUAUACUGGUUCGAUUCAACAGAAUCUACGUCCAGUCGUUAAUCACUACAAAGAGUGAUUAACAGUUCCACUAAAAAUUGGUUUAACAGAUUACAAGAUAAUAAACAGGAAUAAAAUGAAAGAAACUGACUCUACCAACUUGAAGAGAACCUGCACCGGCAAUCGACACACGAUUCACGUGCUUCUCUUUACACAAGAUCAGGUAGAGAGCCCUGCCAACUUGAAGAGAGUCCACUUCUGGUAUCGGCACACGAUACGUAAGCCUCUCCUUCCACAAGACCAAGCAAGGGAACACAGUAAACAAAAAAGCUUUCUCAAGAACGUUCCUCUGACUACUCAGUGUUCUGGCUUUU
rnacentral:lncRNA from 1 species